rnacentral:lncRNA from 1 species
AGUUGGCCUCAUAAAUCUUGGUAUCCUUGGUAUGGGAGCUGCUGUAACAUCCCCAGUCCUGUUACUAAUAAUUUCUACUUUAGAUUGUGGCUCUUCCAUAGAUGGAUGGGAAGCUUCCAGUUGCUCAUUGGAAGAUGAUAUGGUCCUCGUGAGAUUUUCUAAUCUUUCAUUCAACUUAUCAAUCUUUCUUCUAAUAUUUUGACGUUCAGCUUCAAUCCAUUCAAUCUUCUGCUGCAGAUUGGUCAUUGCAAGUUCCUUCUGGUCCCUUAUUUCCUGCUUUCCAAUUGUUGAACACAGUAGCAAGAACUAAAUUUCAGAUUUAAAUUUACAAGGAGACGGAAGCAUUUUUCUGCAUGAGGCCACAAGAUGAGAUAUCUGAGAUGGAAAUUCUAGAAGUCCCCAAAUACAUCAAUAGUUAGAGUAUUUGUAUUGAUCAGUGUUCUGUUCCAGAUGCAUUCCCUUUUGAUGUAUUUUUUAUACUUCUGAAUAGUAUAAUAGCAUGUUUUCUCAGUUUUCUUAAUGUAUGUGCAUCAGAAAAAUGUUUAAUGUGAAAUACAGCUGCUUCAAAACCAUAGUAUGAAGAAUAAUAGUGUAACUUAUACAAAAAAAAAAAAAAGUACGAAGAAUAAUUGUGUAGUGACUGCAUGAUUGAACUCUCUUUUUCCCUCUAUUACAUACUCAUUGAUUUAGUUAGCACAAAUUGUAAUAUGUUACUAAUUUCUUUUUCAUGUAAUGUGUUGUAUUGUUAAUGUCCAUUCCUCAAAAGAUUAAUGGUCUAAUCCGCAACUACCACAGAUAAUGUGUUACUUUUCUUGAUGGGGAUUAUAUGGAUGAACAACUUGGCGACCUACCCUGUCCUAUAACAAGUUGUUCACAAUCUUAUCAUGGUAUAAAGGUAUUAUAUAACAUGUUUAUAGUUCGAUACCAUUUUUUGAGUUUCAUUGCUAGGAUAGUCUAUAUAACGCCAGACUCAUUACUCAGAAAUAUGGACCAUACAGUUAUUUGAAAGGCGGUUUAAGAAAUGCAACAUUAAGUUAACUUACAGUUGAUUCCUCAGAAACAAGGUGAAUGCUUCGCACCCGUGUUGCAAAAUUCAAAGAACAGACUGUCUCACACAGAUCUUCUUCUUUGGGACUGACAUGGACAAGCAUCAAUGUUUUUGAAUCCUCUCCUGUAAAGAAGAUACAGAAUUAAAGUAAAGAGGAAUAUCUGAAUCAAGAUGUAGAAAUGGAAAAAUCCAUGCACAUGACCUGUGCACUGACAACGCUAGGUCUUCUGCUUAGAUAAAAGUGGUCAUCGGGUGAGAAGAUACUUUCCUGGCUAGUUUUUGUAAUUAUUAUGGCAUGCAGAAGACUCAGACAAGUUUAAUCUUGUUCUAUCCUAGGUGGCACUUCUGGAAUAACAAGAACAAACUUACUGCAUCUCUACCUAACGUAUGGAGGAAGAUUUGUUUUACUUCUUUCCUCUCUUGAAUAUACCUCUUUAAGUAUAUAGUAAGACUAUUGUUUAGUCACUGGCUAGUUGGUUCAUGAUGAACAGAAAAUAUGGAGUUCAGUGAAGAAGAAUAUAUUACCGAGGGAAUCUUUAAGAACUUGUGUCAGCUUGCUAUUCCUGUCAAAAGUGAAAAACUUCUAAUUCAGGGUUUACUCUAUAAUGCUGGGGGAGUUCCACUGGCUAGUGAACCCUAAUUGACAGAUUGAAACCUUGACAAAUGAAGCAUUAACAUUCUAUAUAAUGUUUGGAAGCUUGUAGUUUGCUUUAAAAUCUUUCUGCUUUUCUUUCUUAUACUAAGAGUGGGUUGCCAUAAAGCAAGUUGGUUUUAUGGCAAGUCACUUCUUUGCUUUGGUUCAUUCUAACCAAACCAAGUGUACUUUGGAUAGCUUUCAUGAAAUUAACAAAUAUGAGGAAUUUUUUGUUGCCUGUAGGGUAUGUGGCGCCUUUUUCUUUGGAGCGCAUUGAUGACAUGUCCAAGCGCUGAAAGUGAUAGAUUGAUGGCUUUUCCUUCUUCAAGUCUUCUCC